AACAGGAACCACCGCGUCUUCUUGUCAAACUGUUAAACUUGUACUUAAAUACUCAUGUUAAUGCUCAAAGGAGCUGUUACUGCCCGAGCGAACCGAUAACACACGUAAAUCAAAAUGUAUGUAACUAUCGAUCAAAAUCAUCGAAUUCAAGCAUUUCGUCAAUUUUUUGGGAAACUUUCAAAUUUAUUCACUCAAUCCGUAGACUUGACACAAACAUGGAAAUCUGGGCUUUGCGUGAUUUGCAAUUGCUUAAAUUUGAUUCUUCAACAAAAUGUGGACCAAUGAUUUAAGAUAAUGGUGUAGGAAAAGUUAACAGAGACAUCCAGCUGAUUGAGUUAAAAGCUAUAAUUUUACAGAGUCACUCCUCACUUUACAUAAUUACUACACGCUUAAUAAAAUGUCGAUAGGUUGCCUACCAAAGCAACCAAAAUUGUUUGUCUUUGAAUAAAUUUGAGUGGUACAGUUACAAACUAUUGCGAUGGAGGACGAAAUUGUUGACAAUGAUGCCUCUAACCAAAGGGCGGUUGAAAUGAAAUCCAAAAAGCAGAAGCAGCAAAAAAAAAAAAAUGUAUGGCUGAAGAGAGAUAUUGAUAAACUAAUCAGUUUGGUGAAAGAGGACAAAUUCGUAUGGAACACAAACCACGCCGAAUAUAACAAUAGAUUAGGAAAAAAACUCUUCUGGUUAAAAGUGGCCAAGGACUUUGAUAUGAAAUUCAAUGCGGCUGAAGUCCACGCAAAGUGGAUCGCCUUGAGGAAACAAUAUAUUAAUCAUAGAAAAAAAAAAAUGUAUUUCAAAUAUUAUAACUCACUCGUCUUCAUCGAUGGUUCAAGGGAGCGAGGAUCUGACUCUUCGACAUCAGAAUCGGAUGAUGAUAGUGAUGAGAUUGAUACGCGUGAUAAUGAUGAGAGUGAUAGGAGUGUAGUAGAACUGGCCUCAACCAUCUCUGCCGAUGUAAAAUUGUCACAUUCUUCAGCAAUAAUCUCUGCCGCUGCAACAUUGCCAUAUUCUCCAGUAACAAUUUCUGCCGCUGCAACAUUGCCACAUUCGUCAACAACAAUAUCUCCUCGUGCUACAAAUAAAAUCUUUUUAACCCAUGGUAUACCAACAACACCUACAUCUGUUCAACCUAGCAGAUCCUUCGUGUCCAGAUUCAAUAAUUGUUCGAAUGCUAGGGACAACGCAUUGGGCACAUUUAUUCUAAGUGAAUUGCGGUCGCUACCCGAAAGCGAUGCGCAUACUUUGAGAUGGCGUCUGCAACGAGCCCUGCUGGACUUCAGUGAGGAAAUGCAAAACAAUAUCUAUGAAUAUGAAAUGAAUUAACUUGUUAACUGCACUACAAUUAGUUGCAUCUCAUAUAUAAGUAGUUUGUAAUAAAAAAAAACUUUAAAA
rnacentral:sRNA from 1 species